GUUUCCUGUAUAAGGCUCUAGGAAUGUCCUUAGCAGUUUGUCAGGACCUGGGCCACGUUAAAUCCCAGCUUCAUCAAUUUUUGAAAGCAACAGAUUAUAUGGAAGCCCCUGAGAGACAGGGAAUCAUUUCCAUCCUUGCACUCUCUGCUGAGAGCCACUUGGACCUCACCCUCAACGCACUUCAGGAGUUUGGGGCUGCAAUGAGCAAGGUUACGAUUCCUGGGUUCAUCAGCCGCCUGAAGGACCACCACCAUGGGAGAAGAGGCAAGACUCG